rnacentral:rRNA from 1 species
AUUGAACGCUGGCGGCAGGCCUAACACAUGCAAGUCGAACGAGUGGCGGACGGGUGAGGAAUGUCUGGGAAAAUGCCUGACGGAGGGGGAUAAAUACUGGAAACGGUAGCUAAUAACGCAUACCAUCAGAUGGGCCCAGAUGGGAGUAGCUUGUGGGUGGGGUAAAGGCUCACCAAGGGGACGAUCCACAGCAGGUCUGAGAGGGUGACCAGCCACACUGGAACUGAGACACUGUCCAGAAUCCUACGGGAGGCAGCAGUGGGGAAUAUUGCACAAUGGGCGCAAGCCUGAUGCAGCCAUGCCGCGUGUAUGAAGAAGGCCUUCGGGUUGUAAAGUACUUUCAGCGGGGAGGCGUUACCCGCAGAAGAAGCACCGGCUAACUCCGUGCCAGCCGCCGCGGUAAUUC